AGUCACUGACAUUAGAUACCCGUGUAGUCCAGGGUGUAAACGCUGCAGACUUGGUGUUGGAGGCCCGUUUGGGGGCAUUCAGUGCCGGAGAGAAGUUGUUAAGUCUGCUACUUGGGAGUACGUCCGCAAGGAUGAAACUUAAAGGAAUUGGCGGGGGAGCACCGCAACGGGAGGAGCGUGCGGUUUAAUUGGAUUCAACACCGUAAAACUCACCAGGGAAGACUGUUACAUGAAGGCCGAGAUGAAGACUCUGCUAGAUUUUCAG
rnacentral:rRNA from 1 species